UACGAAGGGGGCUAGCGUUGUUCGGAAUCCCUGGGCGUAAAGCGCACGCAGGCGGAUCGUUAAGUCAGGGGUGAAAUGCCGAGGCUCAACCUCGGAACUGCCUUUGAUACUGGCGAUCUUAGAGUCCGGGAGAGGUGAGUGGAACUCCGAGUGUAGAGGUGAAAUUCGUAGAUAUUCGGAAGAACACCAGUGGCGAAGGCGGCUCACUGGCCCGGUACUGACGCUCAGGUGCGAAAGCGUGGGGAGCAAACAGG
rnacentral:rRNA from 1 species